rnacentral:misc_RNA from 1 species
GGAGUAUCCCAGUAAGAACUUUGCAUCAUCUUUAAGCCACACAGACUCAAUUACUGAGAGGGAAGAACGUUCGUGUACAUAUCAUCCUGUGCCUUAUGCCUUGAAGAUUCGGUUGGUUCUUGAAUAGAAUCUGCAGCGACCUCUGUUUGAUGCUCUCUUGGAUCGGAAACUGCAACUGUGUUUUCAGUAGCUUGAGCUUGA